AAUAAGUCUAAAUUUCUUUGCACUCUCAAAAUCACAAUCUUUCGAAAUUGUGGGAUCACAACUACGAUUAUUUAUGUUUAAACUACUACGUAAAAAUUAAUGAAAUUACAACAAAAUUUUGUUUAACUUAUGUUAUACAAUUGAGUAAAACAAAAAGCAAAUGAGAUAUAGCUCAAUAAAGGACACAUUUACACUCAAUCUUCCGCAUUAAAAUACAAGACGUGGAUUAUUUUCACUAGAAAAGAUCGUCACAAUUGCACAAGUUACCUACUUAGUUUUUCAUCAACCAACAACAAACAAACACGCUAUUAAAUCUAAAUUUUCAAAUCUAAUAACUAAAAAUUAAAUAAUAGCAAAAAAAUACAAAGAAGUUCUAAAAAUAA
rnacentral:lncRNA from 1 species